rnacentral:siRNA from 1 species
GUUAUAUACUGGUUCCAAUGUUGC